AUUGAACGCUAGCGGGAUGCUUUACACAUGCAAGUCGAACGAGUGGCGGACGUGUGACUAAUAUAUCGGAACGUGCCCCGUAGCGGGGGAUAACUACUCCAAAGAGUGGCUAAUACCGCCUACUAUUGUAUCGGCCGCUAUCGGAUUAGCUAGUUGUUGGGGUAAAGGCUCACCAAGGCAACGAUCCGUAGCUGGUUUGAGAGGACGACCAGCCACACUGGGACUGAGACACGGCCCAGACUCCUACGGGAGGCAGCAGUGGGGAAUUUUGGACAAUGGGGGAAACCCUGAUCCAGCCAUCCCGCGUGUAUGAGAAGGCCUUCGGGUUGUAAAGUACUUUUGGCAGAGAAGCGGGAUCUGAAGAAUAAGAACCGGCUAACUACGUGCCAGCAGCCGCGGUAAUUC
rnacentral:rRNA from 1 species